rnacentral:rRNA from 1 species
AAUAGAUACCCCGGUAGUCCACGCCGUAAACGGUGGGCACUAGGUGUGGGCAACAUUCCACCGUUGUCCGUGCCGCAGCUAACGCAUUAAGUGCCCCGCCUGGGGAGUACGGCCGCAAGGCUAAAACUCAAAGGAAUUGACGGGGGGCCCGCACAAGCGGCGGAGCAUGUGGCUUAAUUCGACGCAACGCGAAGAACCUUACCAAGGCUUGACAUACACCGGAAACGUCUGGAGACAGGCGCCCCCUUGUGGUCGGUGUACAGGUGGUGCAUGGCUGUCGUCAGCUCGUGUCGUGAGAUGUUGGGUUAAGUCCCGCAACGAGCGCAACCCUUGUCCCGUGUUGCCAGCAGGCCCUUGUGGUGCUGGGGACUCACGGGAGACCGCCGGGGUCAACGUCGGAGGAAGGUGGGGACGACGUCAAGUCAUCAUGCCCCUUAUGUCUUGGGCUGCACACGUGCUACAAUGGCCGGUACAAUGAGCUGCGAUACCGCGAGGUGGAGCGAAUCUCAAAAAGCCGGUCUCAGUUCGGAUUGGGGUCUGCAACG